rnacentral:pre_miRNA from 1 species
AAUGUACUCCCUCCGUCUGGAAAUACUUGUCAGAAAAAUGGAUGUAUCUAGAACUAAAAUACGUCUAGAUACAUCCAUUUCUCCGACAAGUAUUUCCGGAUGGAGGGAGUAUUUU